rnacentral:sRNA from 1 species
UAUCCACGAACCGCCCUGACCGCAGUCGC